UGUCGCGUAGCACAACAGGUAGUGCAGCCGGUUGUUACCCGGCUAGGUGCUGGUUCGAAUCCAGCCGUGACAG
rnacentral:tRNA from 1 species